rnacentral:rRNA from 1 species
CCUACGGGUGGCAGCAGUGAGGAAUAUUGGUCAAUGGGCGCGAGCCUGGACCAGCCAAGUCGCGUGAGUGAAGACGGUCCUAUGGAUUGUCAACCUCUUUUGUCGGGGAGCAAAAGACGCCACGCGUGGCGUUCCGAGAGUACCCGAAGAAAAAUCAUCGGCUAACUCCGUGCCAGCAGCCUCGGUAAUACGGAGGAUGCGAGCGUUAUCCGGAUUUAUUGGGUUUAAAGGGUGCGCAGGCGGAAGAUCAAGUCAGCGGUAAAAUUGAGAGGCUUAAACUCUUCGAGCCGUUGAAACUGGUUUUCGUGAGUGAGUGAGAAGUAUGCGGAAUGCGUGGUGUAGCGGUGAAAUGCAUAGAUAUCACGCAGAACUCCGAUUGCGAAGGCAGCAUACCGGCGCUCAACUGACGCUCAUGCACGAAAGUGUGGGUAUCGAACAGGAUUAGAUACCCUUGUAGUC